GACGAACGCUGGCGGCGUGCUUAACACAUGCAAGUCGAACGAAGAGCGAUGGAAGCUUGCUUCUAUCAAUCUUAGUGGCGAACGGGUGAGUGACGCGUAAUCAACCUGCCCUUCAGAGGGGGACAACAGUUGGAAACGACUGCUAAUACCGCAUACGAUCUAAUCUCGGCAUCGAGGAUAGAUGAAAGGUGGCCUCUACAUGUAAGCUAUCACUGAAGGAGGGGAUUGCGUCUGAUUAGCUAGUUGGUGGGGUAACGGCCCACCAAGGCGAUGAUCAGUAGCCGGUCUGAGAGGAUGGACGGCCACAUUGGGACUGGGACACGGCCCAGACUCCUACGGGAGGCAGCAGUGGGGAAUCUUCCGCAAUGGACGAAAGUCUGACGGAGCAACGCCGCGUGAGUGAUGACGGCCUUCGGGUUGUAAAGCUCUGUUAAUCGGGACGAAAGGCCUUCUUGCGAAUAGUGAGAAGGAUUGACGGUACCGGAAUAGAAAGCCACGGCUAACUACGUG
rnacentral:rRNA from 1 species